rnacentral:misc_RNA from 1 species
GAUGGAGGGCCUUUCUUAAAGCAUCAAGAAGCAUGGAAGACCUCUACGGGGCCGAAGGUUUCGGGGCCCCUAAUGUACCACCUAAGCGAAUCUGAUAGAAGCCAUCUUUUUGCGUGAAAGACUGGAACAUC